rnacentral:tRNA from 1 species
GAGGAUGUGGCUCAGUAGUAAAGUACUUGCCUGGCAUGCAUGAGACCCUGGGUUCAAACUCCCUAGCACACACA